rnacentral:lncRNA from 1 species
GCGUUGCACGUGAGGGCACACAGUGAGGAGGUGGAGGGGAUCCAUCCCGAAGAAGCCGGGAUCCCCUGUUUUAGGGCAUUCUCCUCCUCCCCUUUGAGACCAUUCGAGGUAGAGCCGCCACACCUGAGUUCUUCCUCCUCAGGCUGCCGGCAGAGAGAGAGAGAGAGAGCGAAAGAGAGAGGGAGAUAGAGGGCUUUGGGUCUUCUUCGGUACGAGGGGUCUUCUUCUUCCUUACCGCCGGAGAGGAAGAAAGCCGCCGGACUUUCGUCGGGGCUGAGGUAAGGCCUUCUCCUCCUCUCUUGGUGAUUAGCCAUGAUGUGUUGAGGUUUUGGAGCCGGCCAAUCGCCGGAAACUUGGGUCCAAAAAUCGGUCGGCCGAGUGCUCCGCCACUGGCCUUGUUCACCGCCGGGAGUGGCCGGGCUUGCUCCGCCACCUCCUGCCGCUGUCAGAGCCGGCCACCACGGCCGCCCUUGGGCCCGACCGAGAGGGAAGAAGAAGGGGGCAGGGGGGUCACGGAUCCCCUGUUUCGCCGAAGGGGAAGGAAGAAAGAAGUCGGGGGAAGUUUCUGGAGAAGAAGAGAAGAAAAGAAAAAGAAAAGGAAAGGAAAGAAAAGAAAAAAAAAGAAAAGAAGGAAAAAGAAAAAAAAGAAGAAAAGAAAGAAAAAAAAAGAAAAAAAAAGAAAAGAAGAAGGAAAAAGAAAAAAAAUGAAUAAAGAGAGUGGGUGGUUUACGGGUAUGAACCCGAACUCAGGGUGCUAGGCACUUCUGUAGGAUCAGCCAUGGGAGAAUAUUAAAAUUUAA